rnacentral:sRNA from 1 species
GCUGGACAUGGUGGCGCAUGCCUGUAAUCCUAGUGGCUUGGGAGGCUGAGGCAGGAGGAUUUCGAGUCAAAGCUAGCCUCAGCAAUGGCAAGGAGCUAAGCAACUCAGUGAGACCCUGUCUCUA